rnacentral:misc_RNA from 1 species
UCAAACUUGGUCAUUUAGAGGAAGUAAAAGUCGUAACAAGGUCUCCGUAGGUGAACCUGCGGAGGGAUCAUUAACACGUUUCUACAAACGUUUCCAACCAAUUCCGUGAACUUACCCAACCUCGCAGCUAUAUGAGUGCUGACAGGCAGGGCUUUUUGCUCUGUUCUGCUCUCACUCUAUGGUUGUUUGAUUUUUUGUUUUUAAACCCUUUCCAAUUUUACCAUACGGUUUAUAGUACUGUGACAACGUUCAUUCGUUGACACUGAAAUAAAUCAAUGUAAAGCACAACUCUUAGCAACGGAUAUCUUGGUUCUCGCAUCGAUGAAGAACGCAGC